CACAAGUUUUGUACUUGACCCCACCCUCUUACCAACUCCUUCAUCUUUCUCUCUCUAAAAAAACAACAAGAACACCUUUUUUUCAAUUUCAUCAGAUUUGAACAAGCCAUUUCUCAAAGACUAGAUCUAGAUCUUGUACACAUUCCUUUCUAUUGAAGCCACCAAAUCUGAGGAUCGAAGCACUAUCAAAGCUCUUCAAGAAAAGGAAGUAAGGUGUUGCUCUCAUCACAUCUUUAAUACUGUUUUUAGAGAGAGAAGACUAAUGUUUUGGAGAGAGAAACAACAAUCUUCAUCUUGUUCAUCUAGACUCCAAGAACACACGUACAAAUGUGAUGAUUUUGCUGGAUGGCAUAUCCUGAUUUCAGUACACCUCUCGAAGAAGUUUUAAAUUCUUAGCUUUUGCCUAUUAUAACGUGUCUUCUGUAUUGGUUUCUAAUUAUAUUGUUUCCACCAAUACAUAGUACAUGUGUUAACAUUUCAGAGUAACACAUGUUACAAUUACAAAAUGUGUCACCAAAACAUCUUUAACCAGGUUACACACAUUGUAUAGAAGAUGUUACAUGUGCACACAUAAGUAAUUACAUGAUAUAAAGCAGGAACCAAGUUUUGAUCAUGUUACACAUGUUACAAACAAGUUGUAACAUGUGUAACACAUGUAACAUUUGUGGCAACAUGUAAAACGUGUUACAUGACUUACGUAAAUUAUGUAACCUGGUCACACAUGCCAUGCUCUGUAUCUUUUUUAACACAUGAUAACACAUGUACAACCAGUUACCAUGUUACACAUAGGUAGUUACAUGAGUUACACUAGAGGCUAACACAUUUAUUGCCAGGUUACACAUGUGACCUAUGUGUUGUAACAUGUGUUACACAUCGGGGUAACAUAUGUUGUAUACAGUGUGUUACAUAUGUUAUACCCAGUGAGUUAGAGAUGUAUACCUAUGUCACACAUGUUACAUCUUGGUGUUACUUACGUUUACAGUCUCUUGUCUGGCACAUGACCUACAUACUUGUUAAUGUGGUUUUUUAAUCCUUAUAUGUCUACUUUCGAAAGAUGAUCAACAACACCCGCCUCACUACUAUGUUUAUGAGCAAACAUAAGGCACCAAAUACUUGACAACUUAUGACGACCAAGCUGGGGUUCAUUAUGUUGCUUAUGAAGAUGAAGAUGCUUAUCAAGAUAUGAAGAUAUCUUUUGUGCCCAAGAUGAAGACGCUUAUCAAGAAAUGAAGCAUAAUUUGGUUUUGUUUAAAUUGGGGCAUCACCACUGAUGGUAGAUAAUUAGUUUGAAAAUCCAUAAUUGUUACAGUAUAUGUUUCAAAUUUUUUGUUGGUUUGGUUGUUUUUGUAUAAACUUCACUCGGAUAUCACA